UGCUAUACUGCAGUCGAACGCUUCUUUCCUCCCGAGUGCUUGCACUCAAUUGGAAAGAGGAGUGGCGGACGGGUGAGUAACACGUGGGUAACCUACCCAUCAGAGGGGGAUAACACUUGGAAACAGGUGCUAAUACCGCAUAACAGUUUAUGCCGCAUGGCAUAAGAGUGAAAGGCGCUUUCGGGUGUCGCUGAUGGAUGGACCCGCGGUGCAUUAGCUAGUUGGUGAGGUAACGGCUCACCAAGGCCACGAUGCAUAGCCGACCUGAGAGGGUGAUCGGCCACACUGGGACUGAGACACGGCCCAGACUCCUACGGGAGGCAGCAGUAGGGAAUCUUCGGCAAUGGACGAAAGUCUGACCGAGCAACGCCGCGUGAGUGAAGAAGGUUUUCGGAUCGUAAAACUCUGUUGUUAGAGAAGAACAAGGACGUUAGUAACUGAACGUCCCCUGACGGUAUCUAACCAGAAAGCCACGGCUAACUACGUGCCAGCAGCCGCGGUAAUACGUAGGUGGCAAGCGUUGUCCGGAUUUAUUGGGCGUAAAGCGAGCGCAGGCGGUUUCUUAAGUCUGAUGUGAAAGCCCCCGGCUCAACCGGGGAGGGUCAUUGGAAACUGGGAGACUUGAGUGCAGAAGAGGAGAGUGGAAUUCCAUGUGUAGCGGUGAAAUGCGUAGAUAUAUGGAGGAACACCAGUGGCGAAGGCGGCUCUCUGGUCUGUAACUGACGCUGAGGCUCGAAAGCGUGGGGAGCAAACAGGAUUAGAUACCCUGGUAGUCCACGCCGUAAACGAUGAGUGCUAAGUGUUGGAGGGUUUCCGCCCUUCAGUGCUGCAGCAAACGCAUUAAGCACUCCGCCUGGGGAGUACGACCGCAAGGUUGAAACUCAAAGGAAUUGACGGGGGCCCGCACAAGCGGUGGAGCAUGUG
rnacentral:rRNA from 1 species